AGAGUUGAUCAUGGCUACAGGACGAACGCUGGCGGCGUGCCUAACACAUGCAAGUCGAGCGGGGUCCAUCCGGUAGCAAUACCGGGGAAGACCUAGCGGCGAACGGGUGAGUAACACGUGAGAAACCUGCCCCGAAGUCUGGGAUAACCCGAGGAAACUCGAGCUAAUACCGGAUGUCUUCUUCUGAUCGCAUGGUCGGAUGAAGAAAGAUUUAUCGCUUCGGGAGGGUCUCGCGGCCUAUCAGCUAGUUGCGGGGUAACGGCCCACCAAGGCGUCGACGGGUAGCUGGUCUGAGAGGACGAUCAGCCACACUGGGACUGAGACACGGCCCAGACUCCUACGGGAGGCAGCAGUGGGGAAUAUUGCGCAAUGGGCGAAAGCCUGACGCAGCAACGCCGCGUGCGGGAUGAAGGCCUUCGGGUUGUAAACCGCUUUCAGUGGGGACGAAUUCAGACGGUACCCACAGAAGAAGCCCCGGCCAACUACGUG
rnacentral:rRNA from 1 species